CCUACGGGUGGCAGCAGUGGGGAAUAUUGCACAAUGGGCGAAAGCCUGAUGCAGCAACGCCGCGUGAAGGAAGACGGUUUUCCGAUUGUAAACUUCUAUCAGUAGGGAAGCAAGACAUGACGGUCCCUAACUCACACGCCCCGGCUAACAACGUGCCAGCAGCCGCGGUAAUACGUAGGGGGCAAGCGUUAUCCGGAAUUCCUGGGUGUAAAGGGAGAGUAGGCGGCAAGGUAAGCGAUAUGUGAAAGUCGUAAGCUUAACUAAAGGUUUGCAUAACGAACUAUCUAGCUAGAGUACAGGAGAGGAAAGCGGAAUUCCUAGUGUAGCGGUGAAAUGCGUAGAUAUUAGGAAGAACACCAGUGGCGAAGGCGGCUUGCUGGACUGAAACUGACGCUGAGGCUCGAAAGCGUGGGGAGCGAACAGGAUUAGAUACCCGUGUAGUC
rnacentral:rRNA from 1 species